UUACAUGCCUGUUUAUAAAUAGUAGCUAGCUGGCUACAUGUCAGGCUAGUCUGGUCUAUGCUUACUACGCUACAGAAGAUGAAGCAAACAUGUCUCUCUAUGAAUGGCAAUAGAUUGAACUACUCAGGAGAAUAAAAAAUUACUGACAAAAUGGCGAGUUCAUCCAAUGAAGAGAAUACACGAGCUGGAGAAUACACGUCUGUUGUUCAACCUAUGUGAAUCAAUGACGAGGAAAGACAUGUUCAAUACUUCUGGAUGUCGGAUGCCAGAUUUGACGACUUGCAUCAGCGGCUUCCCCCUAACCUCUAGCACGAGAGAACUCACAGCUUGACCGUCAUUGCUUCAGGAGGGCUGUCUUUGACCCGUUUUUUUGCCAGUGGCAGCACACAUAAGUGUGCCAAGGCAAUCUGGCAUGUCCUGAAGGAGGAUUUUGUUGCUUAUCCCUCUGUGGCAAAAAAUGGGCUUCACCAUGGUCGACGUGAACGCAUAGCCGGGAGGGAGAUGCAGGAAUCUUUUCCCGAGGCAAAUUGGGCUCCCAACUCAUUACAGGCCAUCUGCCACUACCAAGGCCAGAGAGCUUCCCGGGGACCCAAACACAGAGCCCAUGUUUUCGUGGAAGACGAGGCAUUACCUCUGAUGGUAAACCUAAUGCGACCAUAUUCAGAUUCUUCUGGCUUUAAUGACGCCAAGAAGAUCUACAACUAUCACCAUUCAAUAGCCAGAAGAAUUUCAGAGAACUGCUUUGGGAUCCUUGCUGCAAGAUGGAGGAUCCUGAGACGAGCCCUUGAGGUUGCCCCAGCUGGUCAAGUGCCUUUCCAGGAUGCUGCGAUCACGUGUGGCAGCCUACAGUAAAUGUU